rnacentral:rRNA from 1 species
GACGAACGCUGGCGGCGUGCUUAACACAUGCAAGUCGAACGGAAAGGCCCUGCUUUUGUGGGGUGCUCGAGUGGCGAACGGGUGAGUAACACGUGAGUAACCUGCCCUUGACUUUGGGAUAACUUCAGGAAACUGGGGCUAAUACCGGAUAGGAGCUCCUGCUGCAUGGUGGGGGUUGGAAAGUUUCGGCGGUUGGGGAUGGACUCGCGGCUUAUCAGCUUGUUGGUGGGGUAGUGGCUUACCAAGGCUUUGACGGGUAGCCGGCCUGAGAGGGUGACCGGCCACAUUGGGACUGAGAUACGGCCCAGACUCCUACGGGAGGAAGCAGUGGGGAAUAUUGCACAAUGGGCGGAAGCCUGAUGCAGCAACGCAGCGUGCGGGAUGACGGCCUUCGGGUUGUAAACCGCUUUCGCCUGUGACGAAGCGUGAGUGACGGUAAUGGGUAAAGAAGCACCGGCUAACUACGUG